CCCAGCUCUCCAGCUACCAAGAGCCCCAGGUAUUUUGGGCCUCAACGUAUGGCAUUUCCCUUAAUGUCCUGCCUACUGAAAGCCAUGGUCCUGCAGCGUGCCAGGCAACCAGGCUCUGGACUGCUUUGCUGAGCUUGAUUUAGUCACUCAAGACCAAGCAUCACCAGAGGGAGCUGCCUAUUGUUCACUUGGAGGUGUGGCUUAAGGUAAUUAAUUCCGCAAUUUAGCUAAGAAGGCAGCUCAAACCCUGCCAGUCUGGGAGCCCACAUGUAAUGGCAGGGCUUCAGAGAAAAAUGCUGCUGCCAGUGGGCUCACUGUUUUCCCAUUAUACAAGCUGUGUCUGUGGUGACACCGGGGUGAUGCUCCAGGGCCGAGGCCGGGAAAGGGCAUGGGGCUGGCACGUGGUGGUGGUUUUCAUCUGGCUUCCCCCGCUGAGCCCCCCGGGCCGCCUUGUCCCUGAGCCAUGAGCUGUUUUCUCCACAGUUAACAGGGCGCGACGGUUCCAGCUGGUCCCAAGCCAUCAUAAUUAACGCCACAACUUUCUCAUUUCUCUCUGGUUUUCAGACUCGUGCCCAGGCUCCUGCCAGCUCUCAUCAGCUGGCCCCCUGCUGCCAGCCGAGCAGCAGCAAGCAGGGGGAAGGACCAAGGCGACUGCCAGGAGAUAGAAGCAAAAAAGGAGAAUCAAUCUGGGGAAGAGGCUCUGAGAGAGAUGCUCUUGGAGGCCCCCAGGAGAGACAGAAGGAAGGGAGAGGUAACAGUACUUGUAAGAAGGGCCACAGGUGAAGGAUCUCACUGAGGGGUGUUGAACAAAGCCAGUCUUGGUGAGGGCUCCCCAGGCUGCAGUAAGGUUGUGCUGGAGUCACCCAUGUCAGCUCUUUCGCUGUGGGAUUGCUCUGUGCUUUCAGCUACAGAUGGAGAUUAGAGCUCGGAAACAAAACCUCCUUCUCUUUGACGAUGAGUUCACUGGGUUUGAAAAAAAUCCUUCUGGCUUCAGACCCCAGGUCACCAACUUCUCCCCCUCCUCUGCUCAGGACCCAAGAAGAGGCAAAAUGGUGGCUGGUUGGUGCUGGUUGUCUCCUUCCAGCAUGUUUCCAGCUCCAGGGUCUUCUGCCAGCCCUCAGGGACCCUGGUCAGAGCCUGGGGGCCAGGAAGGCUCAGUGACAGCCACAGGCCAGGGAAGGGACUGCUGUCCCCAUGCCGAGAGAAGCAGGAGCCUGGCCUGCCAGAUAACCCAUGGCCUGGUGGAGGGGCCCUGUGCUGUGGAAGCGAUGCUGAGCUCCGGGACCUACCGCAUGGUACCUCACGGCAGCACCCACUGCGGAGUGCUGCUGGGCGAGCACAGCGUCUCCCUGCACCCGACUAGCUGCACCAGGGGUGAGCCGCAGCAGGUUAGACCGGCUCUAACACCAAUACUCCCGGGAAACACCCAGAGGCAGCUCUCUGAUGACCCCAACAUCCUCCAGACACCACAGACUCACCUGGAAAUAGGUGCAACACCUCACAGCAUCCUCCUAAGACAGCAUCCUCAUAACUGAGCCUGGACUGAACAUCUGGGUUGGGGAUAAGGAUUUAGAGGGAAGAGUGGGGGUAAGGAAGACUAAUAGGGCUGGAGUGGAAAUGUUUAUUUUGCUCCAGGAUUUUAAUUUAUGUGAUCUGCCUGGUGCAGCUCUAGCAGCCUCAUUGGAAACCAGCUCAAUAACCGUUUAAUCCGCAGUCUCCUUCAGUCCUCUGAAAUGGGGGGGUCUCACCUUUCCCCACCCCCCCCAGCUCCACAACCACUAGCUAUAUAACAGAGGUAGGAGGGGGUUAACUCUUAGGUUAAUUAUUUUGAAAAUAUUUAUUCAUGACACAUCUCUUAGUAAAAGUGCCUUGACAGGGUGUUAGGAUAAAUGAUUGAAUCUUUAUGGAAAAAGAAGGGGAAUAUUUUCUGUUCCUGUCUGGUAUCUGAGUGCUGAUUAAAGUGCAUCCCAGUGCUGUGGAGGGCUUGCAGUCAGGGCAGUCCACAAACCAGCUGAGGCUGUGUACCACACUUCCCCCUCAUUAGCACAUUUUUACAAACUUGCUUUCAUGCCCUUAGUUCCAGAAGUUGCUCAUCAGACACCUCAUACCAGCCUGGUGAACUCUGCCCAAACCUUCAGAGAGCUCCAUCACAGGCCCCUCCAUGGAGGUGUCCUGCAGAACAACUCUCUGGGGGAGGAUGAGGCGGAGGGGUGGUGGGAGAGGGCGGGGCAGGCGUUUCUUUAAGUGAUUCCCCAUUAAAUGACUUCCAUAGCACCAUACUGUCUUUGUGCCCUCCACCCCAUCUAAUUAAUUAACAUUUGGCCCCGCUGCAACGACUGCUGCACUGCAAACAUGGGGGGGAAAAGAUUUUGUGCAAAGUGAAUGAUGGCUGCCCCCACCUGCGUGAACCAAGGUUGCAGGUUUGCUUCUGCAGUGUGUCAGAAGAUGCUAACGUGAUGCACCUUUCUCCUCCUGUACCCUUUCAAAAGUUUAGACUCUAAUGGCUUGAGAUUAAAUAAAAUUAAUGGGU